AGGGCAAUGGUGUAAUGGUAACACGUGGGUCUCCAAAACCUUUGUUGAGGGUUCGAGUCCUUCUUGCCCUGCCA
rnacentral:tRNA from 1 species